rnacentral:rRNA from 1 species
AUUGAACGCUGGCGGCAGGCUUAACACAUGCAAGUCGAGCGGGGGAAGGUAGCUUGCUACCGGACCUAGCGGCGGACGGUUGAGUAAUGCUUAGGAAUCUGCCUAUUAGUGGGGGACAACAUCUCGAAAGGGAUGCUAAUACCGCAUACGUCCUACGGGAGAAAGCAGGGGAUCUUCGGACCUUGCGCUAAUAGAUGAGCCUACGUCGGAUUAGCUAGUUGGUGGGGUAAAGGCCUACCAAGGCGAUGAUCUGUAGCGGGUCUGAGAGGAUGAUCCGCCACACUGGGACUGCGACACGGCCCAGACUCCUACGGGAGGCAGCAGUGGGGAAUAUUGGACAAUGGGGGAACCCUGAUCCAGCCAUGCCGCGUGUGUGAAGAAGGCCUUAUGGUUGUAAAGCACUUUAAGCGAGGAGGAGGCUACUUUAGUUAAUACCUAGAGAUAGUGGACGUUACUCGCAGAAUAAGCACCGGCUAACUCUGUGCCAGCCGCCGCGGUAA